rnacentral:rRNA from 1 species
UUAGAGUUUGAUCCUGGCUCAGAUUGUACGCUGGCGGCAGGCCUAACGCAUGCAAGUCGAGCGGAUGAAGAGAGCUUGCUCUCUGAUUCAGCGGCGGACGGGUGAGUAAUGCCUAGGAAUCUGCCUGGUAGUGGGGGACAACGUUUCGAAAGGAACGCUAAUACCGCAUACGUCCUACGGGAGAAAGCAGGGGACCUUCGGGCCUUGCGCUAUCAGAUGAGCCUAGGUCGGAUUAGCUAGUAGGUGAGGUAAAGGCUCACCUAGGCGACGAUCCGUAACUGGUCUGAGAGGAUGAUCAGUCACACUGGAACUGAGACACGUUCCAGAUUCUUACGGGAGGCAGCAGUGGGGAAUAUUGGCCAAUGGGCGAAACCCUGAUCCAGCCAUGCCGCGUGUGUGAAGAAGCUCUUCGGUUUGUAAAGCACUUUAAGUUGGGAGGAAGGGCAGUAAGUUAAUACCUUGCUGUUUUGACGUUACCAACAGAAUAAGCACCGGUUAAUUUCGUGCCAGCAGCCGCGGUAAUACGAAGGGUGCAAGCGUUAUUCGGAAUUACUGGGCGUAAAGCGCGCGUAGGUGGUUCAGCAAUUUGGAGGUGAAAUCCCCGGGUUCAACCUGGGAACUCCCUCCAAAACUACUGAGCUAGAGUACGGUAGAGGGUAGUGGAAUUUCCUGUGUAGCGGUGAAAUGCGUAGAUAUAGGAAGGAACACCAGUGGGGAAGGCGACUACCUGGACUGAUACUGACAUUGAGGUGCGAAAGCGUGGGGAGCAA